AUAUAUAUAUAUAUAUAUAAUUCCACUGCAUGUAAAUGGUAAUGAUUUUAUACUGCAAGUUAUUUACUCGAGUACUUUGUCUGUGUUUUUAGUACAUAUAUUGCAGAAGAAGAAGUUGUGAAAUUGAUUUAGGUUAAAAUGAAGGAAAAUUGGGGGGGUGGGGGGUGAAAGAAACAGGAAAGAGACUUGAUUGAAUGGCGUAUGGCUGCUGAAAGAGCCUGCAUGCCAAUGCCAUCCCACUAUAGAAAUUUGGACGAUUCUCCAAUAGCUGGGUCAGCACUCGGCACUUCAGAGAUUCUUUUCUUGUUUUUGGAAACAAAAGCUUGCUGCAACUUUUAACCUCAAAAGCAAGAUCAAUAUUUGCGAAUUGCAAACAUAUAUCAAAUAUGUAUAUAUAAAAUGCACAAAAUAAUUUCAAAUAGGGGCUCUUGUGUACUUGAAUUUUGUGUUUUGUCAUUGGAUGGUAAUAGACGAGGCAAUCCUGAAAGUGGGAUAGCCAUUAAGGGUCUAAUAUUAGCAAAUUACACUCACUUCAUUCUCUCUAUUACUGUGUACAGAUCUGCCAUGCUUCCCUGUCUGACCUAUUUUAUUUUCAUUUUUAAUUUUUGUGGACCUGCCCAUCAUCAGCAUAUAUUGUUACAUAUCCUUGACUAAACAAUAGCCCAUGAGCUUUCACUUCAUCACUUGUAUUAAGGAAAGAUUCCCUAAACAAAGCUACAUUAUUUUUAUCUAAUGGUACUUUUCUUCCUCCAACUUUAAUCAUCAUAUCAUCCAUUUAAACACUACAGUCUGGUCUGGUCAUUCACCUUCUUUCAUCACGGGACCUCUCUAAACUUCAAAUUAUUGUGGUUAGAAAAGAAAAGAAAAGUGCAUUUGCUCAUUUUAGCCCAAGUAUUAACUUGACCUGCAAUGAUGAGGUCUGCAAAAGCUAUUUGCCACAGUCUAUCAUUGUUGAAUUCUUUAGAAAAACCCAAAAAGAAAAGCUAAAGAAAAUUAGUUGAAAUGGUUCACAAUAGGAGUGCUUGUGAUGCAACUAACUUUCUAAUUUCUUUGGCUGCCUAAUAUCAUUAAUUGCUUAUACCCAUUUCAUUACAACCUGCCAAGGAAAGAUCAUAGAGCAGUAACAGAAAAUUGGCACUAUAUAUAAUACAGAUCUACUGAAAAUUAAUGAAAUAGCUUAUUAGACUCAAAUGAAUGUGAAAUUAUGUGCUUUUAAACAGUUUGUAAACAGCGAAAGUAACGUAAUUAAUCUUAUAAUGAAGAGGACAGAUGGAUAAAUGGGGUUAAUUAUCUUCAAAAAAGAAAUGCAGAGGAAAGAGAAUUAGCACAUCCCAUUGUAAAGGGAAUUUAUAUAGAUUGCAAUUUCUUGUUUAAUCAUAACUUUCUUGAAAUCAUAAGAAAAUGCUGAAAGUUACUGCCAUGACACACACUGAACCAAACUUCAAAUCCAUGGGAUGACAAAGAUAAACUUCUUGUAGAGUUUAUGAAAGAAAAGAAAAAUUAAGGAAAAUUUGGAACUUCGACAAACCAUUAAUAAUUCUAGCUCAAAUAUUAUAAUUAUUAUUUGAAAUUAUCUUAACUAGAAUGCUAUCAUGCAGGGUUAAUUUUGAGAAAGAUCAAAAGGAAGAAAAGAAAGAAGAAUAAUUGUGCUGGUUGGACAGUUUAGAUCAUCAGCUAGACAGCUAGAAAAUGUCAAUUAUGACAUAACAUGAUAGCUCUAUAUAUUGUAUAUAUAUCCUCAACUACCACUGUGGAGAUCCCACCAAAAUAAAAAGGACUAUAGCACAGAAUCACGGAGAGAGAGAGAGAGAGAG
rnacentral:misc_RNA from 1 species